rnacentral:misc_RNA from 1 species
AUGGCUCUGGGCAGACACCUCUCCCUGUGGGGAAUCUGUGUCCUCCUCCUCGGCACCGUGGUGAGUGGUCAAGCUGCAAGUCUGAGGCUGAAGAAUGGAGGUCGCCGCUGUGAGGGGAGAGUGGAAGUGAAACACCAAGGAAAAUGGGGCACAGUGAAUGAUCACAAGUGGAGCUUAGAAGAGGCAUCUGUGGUGUGCAGACGGCUGGGGUGUGGAGCUGCUAUUGAUGCUCCCCAAGGAUCUUAUUUUGGACCAGCAUUUGGCCCCAUUUGGUUUUCUUAUAUUUCCUGCAGAGGGACAGAGUCAGCUCUCAAGCAGUGUAGGAGUUCUACAUUGAAAGACUAUUGUCCUCAGGGUUACUCCCAUGCCCAUGAUGCUGGAGCAGUUUGCUCAGGAUUUAUGCGUCUAGCUGAAGGAGAUGGACCCUGCUCAGGGCGAGUAGAAGUUCAUUCUGGAGAAGACUGGACCACAGUGUCUGAUAGAAACUUUACAUUCCCCACUGCCCAGGUCAUCUGUGCAGAGCUGGGAUGUGGCAAGGUUGUGUCUGUCCUGGGACACGUGCCCUUCGGAGAGUCAGGUGGCCAGGUCUGGGCUGAAGAGUUCAGGUGUAAAGGGGAGGAGCCUGAGCUCUGGUCCUGCCCGAGAGUGCCCUGUCCAGGAGGCACUUGUCACCACAGUGGAGUUGCCCAGGUUGUCUGUUCAGUGUACACAGAAGUCCGACUCAUGAAAAAUGGCUCCUCUCAGUGUGAGGGGCAAGUGGAGAUGAAUAUUUCUGGACGAUGGAGAGCACUCUGUGCCUCCCACUGGAGUCUGGCCAAUGCCAAUGUUGUCUGUCGUCAGCUCGGCUGUGGAGUCGCCAUCUCCACCCCCAGAGGACCACACUUUGUGGAAGGAGGUGAUCAGAUCUCAACAGCCCGGUUUCACUGCUCAGGGGCUGAGUCCUUCCUGUGGAGUUGCCCUGUGACUGCCCUGGGUGGUUUUGACUGUUCUUAUGGAAACACGGCCUCUGUGAUCUGCUCAGGAAACCAGACCCAGGUGCUGCCCCAGUGCAACGACUCCCGCUCGGAACCAGCAGGCUCUGCAGCCUCAGAUGAGAGCGCCCCCUACUGCUCAGACAGCAGACAGCUCCGCCUGGUGGAAGGAGGCGGUCCCUGCGCCGGGAGAGUGGAGAUCCUUGACCAGGGCUCCUGGGGCACCAUCUGUGAUGAUGGCUGGGACCUAGACGAUGCCCGCGUGGUGUGCAGGCAGCUGGGCUGUGGAGAAGCCCUCAAUGCCCCAGGGUCUGCUCACUUUGGGGCAGGAUCAGGACCCAUCUGGCUGGGCGACCUGAACUGUACAGGAAAUGAGUCUCAUGUGUGGAGGUGCCCUUCCCAGGGUUGGGGGCGGCACAACUGCAGACACAAGCAGGAUGCGGGGGUCAUCUGCUCAGAGUUCCUGGCCCUCAGAAUUGUGAGUGAGGAUAAGCAGUGUGCUGGGUGGCUGGAAGUUUUCUACAACGGGACCUGGGGCAGUGUCUGCCGAAGCUCCAUGAAAGACAUCACUGUGUCCAUCAUCUGCAGUCAGCUUGGCUGUGGGGACAGUGGAAGUCUCAACUCUUCUGUUGCUCUUAGAGAAGGUUCUAGACCCCGGUGGGUAGAUGGAAUCCAGUGUCGGAACACUGAUACCUCUCUCUGGCAGUGUCCUUCUGACCCUUGGAAUUGCAGUUCAUGCUCUCCAAAGGAGGAAGCCUACAUCUCAUGUGCAGGCAGCAGACAGCUCCGCCUGGUGGACGGAGGCGGUCCCUGCGCCGGGAGAGUGGAGAUCCUUGACCAGGGCGCCUGGGGCACCAUCUGUGAUGACGGAUUUGUGCGUCUGGCUGGAGGAGAAGGACCCUGCUCAGGGCAAGUAGAAGUGCAUUCUGGAGAAGACUGGACCCCAGUGUCUGAUGGAAACUUCACACUUCCCACUGCCCAGGUCAUCUGUGCAGAACUGGGAUGUGGCAAGGCUGUGUCUGUCCUGGGACAUGUGCCCUUCAGAGAGUCUGAUGGCCAGGUCUGGGCUGAAGAGUUCAGGUGUAAAGGGGAGGAGCCUAAACUCUGGUCCUGCCCCAGAGUGCCCUGUCCAGGGGGUGCUUGUCACCACAGUGGAGUUGCUCAGGUUGUCUGUUCAGUGUAUGCAGAAGUCCGGCUCAUGACAAACGGGACCUCUCAGUGUGAGGGGCAGGUGGAGAUGAACAUUUCUGGACGAUGGAGAGCACUCUGUGCCUCCCACUGGACUCUGGCCAAUGCCAAUGUUGUCUGUCAUCAGCUCGGCUGUGGAGUUGCUAUCUCCACCCCUAGAGGACCACGCUUUGUAGAAGGAGGAGAUCAGAUCUCAACAGUCCGAUUUCACUGCUCGGGGGCUGAGUCCGUCUUAUGGAUGUGCCCUGUGACUGCCCUGGGUGGUUUUGACUGUUCCCUUGGAAACACAGCCUAUGUGAUCUGCUCAGGAAAUCAGACCCAGGCAUUGCCCCAGUGCAAUGACUCCCUGUCAGAACCAGCAGGCUCUGCAGCCUCAGAGGAGAGCGCCCUCUAUUGCUCAGACAGCAGACUGCUCCGCCUGGUGGAUGGGGGCGGUCACUGUGCUGGGAGAGUGGAGAUCCUUGACCAGGGCUCCUGGGGUACCAUCUGUGAUGACGGCUGGGACCUGGACGAUGCCCAUGUGGUGUGCAGGCAGCUGGGCUGUGGAGAAGCCCUCAAUGCUACGAGCUCUGCUCACUUUGGGGCAGGAUCAGGGCCCAUCUGGCUGGAUGACCUGAACUGCACAGGAAAUGAGUCUCACUUGUGGAGGUGCCCUUCCCGAGGCUGGGGGCAGCACGACUGCAGACACAAGGAAGAUGCAGGGGUCAUCUGCUCAGAGUUCGUGGCCUUCCGGAUGGUGAGCGAGGACCAGCAGUGUGCUGGGUGGCUGGAAGUUUUCUACAACGGGACCUGGGGCAGUGUCUGCCGCAGCCCCAUGGAAGACAUCACUGUGUCCAUCAUCUGCAGACAGCUUGGCUGUGGGGACAGUGGAAGUCUCAACUCCUCUGUUGCUCUUAGGGAAGGUUCGAGACCCCACUGGGUAGAUGGAAUCCAGUGUCGGAAAACUGAUACCUCUCUCUGGCACUGUCCUUCUGACUUUUGGAAUUACAACUCAUGCUCUCCAAAGGAGGAAGCCUACAUCUCGUGUGCAGGAAGAAGACCCGAGAGCUGUCCAACUGCUGCCCCCUGCACAGACAGAGAGAAGCUCCGGCUCAGGGGAGGAGACACCGAGUGCUCUGGGCGGGUGGAGGUCUGGCACAGCGGCUCCUGGGGCACUGUGUGCGAUGACUCCUGGAGCCUGGCAGAGGCUGAGGUGGUGUGUCAGCAGCUGGGCUGUGGCCAGGCCCUGGAAGCCAUGCAGGCCGCGACAUUCGGCCCUGGAAAUGGGAGCAUCUGGCUGGACGAGGUGCGGUGCAGGGGCCAGGAGUCCUCCCUGUGGGACUGUGCUUUGGAGCCCUGGGGGCAGAGCGACUGCAAGCAUGAGGAGGAUGCUGGUGUGAGGUGCUCUGGUGCAAGGACAACAUUGCCCCCAAGUACUGCAGGGACAAGAACAACCUCAAAUCCUCUCCCUGGCAUCUUCUCCCUGCCUGGGGUCCUCUGCCUCAUCCUGGGGGCCCUUCUCUUCCUGGUCCUCAUCAUCCUGGUGACUCAGUUGCUCAGAUGGAGAGCAGAGCGCAGAGCCUUAUCCAGCUAUGAAGAUGUUCUUGCUGAAGCUGUGUAUGAGGAGCUCGAUUACCUUGUGACUCAGAAGGAGGGUCUUCUGGGCAGCCCAGAUCAGAGGAUUGAUGCCCCUGGUGAGGAUUACGAUGAUGCUGAAGAGGUACCAGUGCUUGGGGUUCCUCUUGCUUCACAGGGGAGGGAAGAGGAAGAGCUCCCAGAGAAGGAAGAUGGGAUCAGGCCCUUUCAGACAGGCUCUUUUCUAAAUGUCUCUAGAGAGGAAGCUAAUCCUGGGGAAGGAGAAGAGAGCCCCUGGCUGCUCCAGGGGGAGAAAGGGGACCCUGGGUAUGAUGAUGUUGAACUCAGUGUCCCGGGAACAUCUUCAGUGACUUUCUCGUGAUGUUGUAUUAAAUAUGAGAUGAAGCCUCAGAUAUUCUAAUUGUUUGUAUUUCAAUAGAGUAAUGCUGACCUGUAGUUGUGUUACAUGAAAAUUGCUCAAAAUGAAAUAUUCUGAAUAAAGUAACGUUUUUGCUUUGUUGAUAA